rnacentral:rRNA from 1 species
UACGUAGGGUGCAAGCGUUGUCCGGAAUUAUUGGGCGUAAAGAGCUCGUAGGCGGUUUGUUGCGUCGGCUGUGAAAUCCCGAGGCUCAACCUCGGGUCUGCAGUCGAUACGAGCAAACUAGAGUGUUGCAGGGGAGACUGGGAAUUCCUGGUGAUAGCGGUGAAAUGCGCAGAUAUCAGGAGGAACACCGGUGGCGAAGGCGGGUCUCUGGG